GCGAGGAUGGCGGAACUGGUAGACGCACCAGACUUAGGAUCUGGUAUCGAAAGAUGUGAGGGUUCAAGUCCCUUUCCUCGCACCA
rnacentral:tRNA from 1 species